rnacentral:rRNA from 1 species
UGGGGAAUUUUGGACAAUGGGGGCAACCCUGAUCCAGCCAUUCCGCGUGAGUGAAGAAGGCCUUCGGGUUGUAAAGCUCUUUCGGACGGAACGAAACGGUUAGCGUGAAUAGCGCUGACUAAUGACGGUACCGUAAGAAGAAGCACCGGCUAACUACGUGCCAGCAGCCGCGGUAAUACGUAGGGUGCGAGCGUUAAUCGGAAUUACUGGGCGUAAAGCGUGCGCAGGCGGCGGCACAAGUCGGGUGUGAAAUCCCCGGACUUAACCUGGGAAUUGCGCUUGAAACUAGGUCGCUUGAGUGUGGCAGAGGGGGGUGGAAUUCCACGUGUAGCAGUGAAAUGCGUAGAGAUGUGGAGGAACACCGAUGGCGAAGGCAGCCCCCUGGGUCAACACUGACGCUCAUGCACGAAAGCGUGGGGAGCAAACAGGAUUAGAUACCCACGUAGUCCCUGAGCGGGCUGGCAAGGCGCAU